CCUACGGGUGGCAGCAGUCGAGAAUUUUUCUCAAUGGGGGAAACCCUGAAGGAGCGACGCCGCGUGGAGGAUGAAGGUCUUCGGAUUGUAAACUCCUGUCAUUAGAGAACAAGUGCCAUGGGAGUAACUGCCUGUGGUUUGAUAGUAUCUGAAGAGGAAGAGACGGCUAACUCUGUGCCAGCAGCCGCGGUAAUACAGAGGUCUCGAGCGUUGUUCGGAUUCAUUGGGCGUAAAGGGUGCGUAGGUGGCGAGGUAAGUCGGAUGUGAAAUCCCGGGGCUCAACCCCGGAACUGCAUUCGAUACUGCCUUGCUAGAGUGCUGGAGAGGAGAUCGGAAUUUACGGUGUAGCAGUGAAAUGCGUAGAUAUCGUAAGGAAGACCGGUGGCGAAGGCGGAUCUCUGGACAGCUACUGACACUGAGGCACGAAGGCCAGGGGAGCAAACGGGAUUAGAUACCCUAGUAGUC
rnacentral:rRNA from 1 species